rnacentral:lncRNA from 1 species
GUAAAUUCUGACUCAAGUGAUCCCAGCUGGGCUUGCUUAGCCAGGCUGAACUCCAGACUUUGGCUUGGGUUGGAAAUUCUCUGUGUCCAUUCCUGUACCCAGGCUGAAGGAGAAAUGACCACUUGGGACAUGCUCAUCUCACGGCACAGGGUGGACACUCCAGGAGGACAGAAAAAAACAUUCAAGUACGUUUAAAGUCUUUGGUCUGACAUGACAUAUACUAUAUAUCCACUCACAUUCCAUUGGCCAAAGGAAGUCAUAGGGUCAAGUUCAGUGUUAGUGAGACUGAGCUUUGCAGUCCACUUCAAGACGGAGGCACUGACAAAUCACAUGGCAAAGGGCUUAGAUAUGUAAAUCUAUUAGAGGGUAGAUGUGAAGAAUUAGUAACAACAAUCCAGUCUAACGUCCACCAUGCGUUUGGCACGCCCUAGCUGCCACGCUGUUGAAAUGCAUUAUCUCAUUAAACCUCACAACACUUCUAUGGAACAGAUAUUAUGAAUAUUUUUGGGUGAAUGAGUGUUUGCCUGUUGGAUGCCUGUUGGGCUAUGCCCCGUGGUUACCAUGUAAAACAGUUCUGAUAGUCAGUUGGCUGGAGAGCAGGCAAGGUAGCUGGAGGGCUCUGUUAAGCAUGAAGAGGGAUUUGGAGUUAUUUCCUAAGCUCAUAUAGGUAAGAUGCAGAUCUGAUCCCAGGGCUGCCAAUAACAAGAGGUUUCAUUUAGGUUGGGAGAGAACUUGCAGUGUGGCUGUUCGAUGGUCAUAUAGCUAGUAGAGGGCAGACACAGUACUUGGACCCAACUGUAUGCUCUGAAUUCAGGUGUACACGACACUGUAGUAUAUACUCCAAAAGGACAGUGUCAUUGCCUUUCAGACUCAAAUGAUAGAAUAGUCACAACUAUAACUGAGGGAACAGUAUUCUAAAUAAACAGGACCUAUAUUUCCUGGCAGAUGAUCUCAGUGUCCCAGGGAGACACUAGAAAAACAGAAAUGAACCCAAAUUCUAGGGAUUUCAGCUAUUGGGACUCUCUGUUCUUUCUCCAGACACCAGAGUGGGCACCUUCCCCUGUCGCUUUUUGCUCUUGUGGACCCAGGGAGGGUUAGAGUGUGGACAGCACCCCAGCAGUACCCAGCCAUCCAACAGUACAAGGGCAGUCACCUUCUUCCUGAAGCCAUUUCAUUGCUCAGGCCUGAAGGUCCCUGCGGCGAUGGCCAGAGGGUUUAGGGGCCACGUUGGUGGGCACAAAGUUGCUCUUCUCCUCAGUUAAGCUGAUUUGCAGAAAAGAGAAAAAGAGGCCUGUCAGUAAGAGCCUGGGGGCAGAAGCCUGACCUAUGGAAUCUUCAUGGUCAAAUUACUGCUCUGAGAGGCACCAAUGAAUCUUAAGAAUUUUCUCCUAAACACAGUUAUCACAGAAGAAAAUCAUAGGCCAAUAGGAAAAAUGCCAUGAUCACUCUCCAUAGACAUUCCCAGAGGUGUCAGAAAGCCCAGAGAUGAUGCUGGGUAACUGUCGAUGGGACACAGA